CUCUUUAACCUUCAUUCUCCUCAACAAACUCACAAACAAAUUUAAUACCAAAUUACACAUACAAAUUUCGUUACAGCCUUCUUUCCACAUCCAAAACGGUUCUGAAACCUGAGAUUCGGAAUAAAACACAAGGUCCGCAUCAUGAAAUAUAAGAAGGGAAGUAUCGUGGAGGUGUUAACCACAAACGAGCUUCCUUACCAUUCUUGGCGUUGUGCUAAGAUAGUUUCCCGUAAUAGGCAGGACUACACUGUUAGAUAUAAUGUGUAUCCUGGUUUUACUAACCAGGAGAUAGUAGAAUGUGUGUCCACAAAAUUUCUUAGACCAUGUCCCCCAAUAGUAGAAUUUUCAGAAUGUAGGCCUGGCGAUGUUGUGGAAGUGUUUCACGAGCUUUCGUGGAAGAUGGCAGUUGUUUCCAAGGCUUUUAGCGAGGACUUGUUUCUAGUCAGAUUUGUUGGAUCAGUUAUAGAGUUUGAAGCAACCAAAUCAGAAAUCCGUGUGCGACAAUCUUGGCAAAAUGAUGAAUGGGUAGUAAUUGGCAAGGUUCAAAUACUUAGCAAAGAUGGACAGUCCAACAAGUUAGCUGAAGCAAAGGGGGCUGUCAAAGGAGAUUCCUACAUGAAAAGUAUCCAGUUUGGUGCUAAGAAUGAAAAUUUACAGGAAUCACAUAUUGUUUCAGCAAGAACCCUGAAGCGGGGGUCACCCUACUGUCUUUCUCAAGAUGAGGUGAAUGAAGGAACGGGCCAGAAAGUUAAAAUCACCCAAAGAGAAGGUAAACGCCUCCGAGUGCUGAUCAAAUCACCUGAAAAAGUAAAUGUUCCUAACUCUAUAGAAAUGCCCUCUGAAGAUUGCAUAUACACAUACUUCCACAACCGAGCAGCUCCCUUGUAUGCAGCUGAUGUGGAGAGGGAAUAUCUAAGUGGUGGGUAUAGAAAAAGAAAUGAUGAUGAUGAUGAUACUGUUACGUGUUCUGUUGGUAGUUGCAGUAUUAACAGCUAUAGUGGGUAUGAUAUUGAGGAUCAUGAAAGUCAUGAUAGUGAUGCAGAGUCUUUUUGUCAAGAAGGAUAUCUUGACUUCUCUUUAUGCAACAAGGAAGUUGCAGCAAAAAUACACAGACUAGAGUUGCAAGCAUAUCGUUCUACUAUUGAGGCCUUACAUGCAUCAGGGCCCUUAACUUGGGAAAAAGAAACAAUGGCCCAAAGUUUGAGGCUUGUACUUUGAAUGUAUAAGUUGGUGUUGGGUGUGCCACAUUCUCUUGGCAUGGGAUGAUGGGGCAUGAGCAGAAUCAGAUCUGCUACAAGUAGCUGAUCCGCCUCUCGUGCCAUGAAUAUACUGUCAUGAUGUGGUAUAGUUAUCGUCUGUUUCUAAGCUUCAAGUUUGUUUACUUGAAGGAUGCAGGUAGAGAAGACUUGGUUUUUACUUGGCAUGUUUUAGCUAAUAAUAAUUUAAGCUUAGAGUUUGCUUCUGCCUUUUGUUAUUUGAAGUGAUUUGCCCACGGGAAAAAAUAAUUUACACACGUAAGGUACAAUAUUUUGAAGCUGCUGAAUGUGUAUGCAUUAUUUUUUUUUCCCGUAGAAAAUAUUAACUCCCAUUUUUUGUUCCAUCCAAGAGCAUCAAAUAUCAUUUUGCAAAUGAUCUGCAAAUGGAGUCCUCUAGAUGUUAUACAAUGAUUUCAAGAUGAAAAUUUGAUUUAGAAUUCUCUGUAAGAUGGAAAUUCUUCUAAAAGUUUUAGUAUUAUAAUAUGACCUUACGAUAAGGUUAUUAACUAUGUACCAGAGUUUGUUGAGUCAAUAUGGCCUACACCUUAAUAGUAGGUCAUAGUGGUUGCUUGAUGUGCAGGUUGGGGGACACGCUUGGGCUUGGCUUGAACUAUUCAUCCUUAGUAAUGGUUGACCAUCAGAAAAUUUCUACUGUCUCAUUUAGUCAUUUUAUAAAUAAUGAAUGCCUUUAUUAUUAUGAUCAUAAAAAUGUAUAACAAUUAUGUUGAUUUACGAGUAAGACUAUAGGGGAUUUUAUGGAUUAAAACUAGACUUUGAGUGGGUUUCACCCGUUUGACCAUCCUUCAUCGGGAUGGACCAACCAAGGCGAAUUGAAGAUCCAUGUUCUUGGCUUCCUAGUUGUAUCUCUGCUCGAUCUUGAUUUAGAAUUGUUUGAAUGUGCACUUGGCUUCUUUUUAGUGCGCUUCACUAAGCUUCUGCUUCAGAUUUGAAAAUCGACUUAUGCAGUUAUGCCCCUACUUUAUUAUUUAUUCUUGCUUUUUUAAUCUGCGGUGCUCCUGCUAGGAGUUCUAAAUGUACAUAUACAUUAUCUACCUGUUUAGAUGGGUAUACUUGUUGACGUUUGGAGAUGUAUGUAGAUUGUUUAAUAUUAUAUAGACUGGUAGACUAGUUUUUUCUUGGUUUGACAUUGUAACAUUUUCUUUAGUCUUUUUGGUUAUCUGUGAAACGUAUCCAAAUUAGGAGUAUGCAAAAUAAGUCAGUUCAAGCAUAAUAUUGUAAUCUUCUAUGCAAAAUAAGUCAUUUUGGUUUACUGUUUACCCUGGAGAAAUCAUCCAGUCAAUGUGACUUGGUUUCUAAAACACGAGUAUCAGGAUUGAAAAUACUCUUCAGAAUUGCGAUUCAACCAGUAUCUGUUUUCUGAUUUGUAUGUAUGCAGGUUGAUGUUCAAUCAGAAGCUGUAUAUACGUUUGGCCUUCUGAUUUGUUAAGCAGCAUGAUGAAGUUGCACGUUAUUGCAACAUGCCUUUGUAUUAUGAGGUAGUUGUAUGAUUACAAAAGUGGAAAAUGUCAUUUCUUCGUUUAUAUUUGUGACUAAUUGUCCUCUUAACAAAGAGAUUGUGGCACUUGAAAAGAAUGGAGGAGGGAACUAGAAAAGAGGAGUGUGUGUACACACUUUUGGAUGAUUGCCAUUGUUCAUAAUAACAUACACUACUAGUAUUGUACUGGUGUGAAAUGGCAGUUUAUGGCAGUAUACAAUGGUUUUUAGGUCUUUCUGGAAGUAGUGUACGAGAGGGAAGAGUGGGUGUUCGGUAGCAUGAGUAUAAGAAUCUACAGAGAUAAGAGGUAUAUAUAAGGGGUGGAGAUGAGAAAAUGGGAGAAGGAUGUAACCUUAUCGCAACGUUCCAGAACAUGAAGGAUCUAUAGCCGUAACAAAAUUGAAGGGAUAGUUUUAUUGGUGUUAUGUACGUGAACGUGAUAUCGAAAAAUACAUAUUACAUGUUCAGUGGCGUUGUUAUAA